rnacentral:tRNA from 1 species
GGAGGGGUGCCCGAGUGGCUAAAGGGGACGGGCUGUAAACCCGUUGGCGCACGCCUACGUUGGUUCGAAUCCAACUCCCUCCACCA